rnacentral:rRNA from 1 species
CGCCCUUAGAGUUGUAUCCUGGCUCAGAUUGAACGCUGGCGGCAUGCCUUACACAUGCAAGUCGAACGGUAACAGGGAGCUUGCUCCGCUGACGAGUGGCGAACGGGUGAGUAAUGUAUCGGAACGUACCUUUCAGUGGGGGAUAACGUAGCGAAAGUUACGCUAAUACCGCAUAUUCUGUGAGCAGGAAAGCAGGGGACCUUCGGGCCUUGCGCUGAUUGAGCGGCUGAUAUCAGAUUAGCUAGUUGGUGAGGUAAAGGCUCACCAAGGCGACGAUCCGUAGCUGGUCUGAGAGGAUGAUCAGCCACACUGGAACUGAGACACGGUCCAGACUCCUACGGGAGGCAGCAGUGGGGAAUUUUGGACAAUGGGGGAAACCCUGAUCCAGCCAUGCCGCGUGAGUGAAGAAGGCCUUCGGGUUGUAAAGCUCUUUCAGACGGAAAGAAAUGGCUUCGGUGAAUAUCCGGAGUCGAUGACGGUACCGUCAGAAGAAGCACCGGCUAACUACGUGCCAGCAGCCGCGGUAAUACGUAGGGUGCGAGCGUUAAUCGGAAUUACUGGGCGUAAAGCGUGCGCAGGCGGUUGCAUAAGACAGAUGUGAAAUCCCCGGGCUCAACCUGGGAACUGCGUUU